rnacentral:rRNA from 1 species
AAAUUGAAGAGUUUGAUCAUGGCUCAGAUUGAACGCCGGCGGCAGGCCUAACACAUGCAAGUCGAACGGUAACAGAAAGCAGCUUGCUGCUUUGCUGACGAGUGGCGGACGGGUGAGUAAUGUCUGGGAAACUGCCCGAUGGAGGGGGAUAACUACUGGAAACGGUAGCUAAUACCGCAUAACGUCGCAAGACCAAAGAGGGGGACCUUCGGGCCUCUUGCCAUCGGAUGUGCCCAGAUGGGAUUAGCUAGUAGGUGGGGUAACGGCUCACCUAGGCGACGAUCCCUAGCUGGUCUGAGAGGAUGACCAGCCACACUGGAACUGAGACACGGUCCAGACUCCUACGGGAGGCAGCAGUGGGGAAUAUUGCACAAUGGGCGCAAGCCUGAUGCAGCCAUGCCGCGUGUAUGAAGAAGGCCUUCGGGUUGUAAAGUACUUUCAGCGGGGAGGAAGGGAGUAAAGUUAAUACCUUUGCUCAUUGACGUUACCCGCAGAAGAAGCACCGGCUAACUCCGUGCCAGCAGCCGCGGUAAUACGGAGGGUGCAAGCGUUAAUCGGAAUUACUGGGCGUAAAGCGCACGCAGGCGGUUUGUUAAGUCAGAUGUGAAAUCCCCGGGCUCAACCUGGGAACUGCAUCUGAUACUGGCAAGCUUGAGUCUCGUAGAGGGGGGUAGAAUUCCAGGUGUAGCGGUGAAAUGCGUAGAGAUCUGGAGGAAUACCGGUGGCGAAGGCGGCCCCCUGGACGAAGACUGACGCUCAGGUGCGAAAGCGUGGGGAGCAAACAGGAUUAGAUACCCUGGUAGUCCACGCCGUAAACGAUGUCGACUUGGAGGUUGUGCCCUUGAGGCGUGGCUUCCGGAGCUAACGCGUUAAGUCGACCGCCUGGGGAGUACGGCCGCAAGGUUAAAACUCAAAUGAAUUGACGGGGGCCCGCACAAGCGGUGGAGCAUGUGGUUUAAUUCGAUGCAACGCGAAGAACCUUACCUGGUCUUGACAUCCACGGAAGUUUUCAGAGAUGAGAAUGUGCCUUCGGGAACCGUGAGACAGGUGCUGCAUGGCUGUCGUCAGCUCGUGUUGUGAAAUGUUGGGUUAAGUCCCGCAACGAGCGCAACCCUUAUCCUUUGUUGCCAGCGGUCCGGCCGGGAACUCAAAGGAGACUGCCAGUGAUAAACUGGAGGAAGGUGGGGAUGACGUCAAGUCAUCAUGGCCCUUACGACCAGGGCUACACACGUGCUACAAUGGCGCAUACAAAGAGAAGCGACCUCGCGAGAGCAAGCGGACCUCAUAAAGUGCGUCGUAGUCCGGAUUGGAGUCUGCAACUCGACUCCAUGAAGUCGGAAUCGCUAGUAAUCGUGGAUCAGAAUGCCACGGUGAAUACGUUCCCGGGCCUUGUACACACCGCCCGUCACACCAUGGGAGUGGGUUGCAAAAGAAGUAGGUAGCUUAACCUUCGGGAGGGCGCUUACCACUUUGUGAUUCAUGACUGGGGUGAAGUCGUAACAAGGUAACCGUAGGGGAACCUGCGGUUGGAUCACCUCCUUA